UACGAGGGGGGCGAGCGUUGUUCGGAAUUAUUGGGCGUAAAGGGUGCGUAGGCGGUUUGAUAAGUCUUGUGUGAAAUCUCUGGGCUCAACCCAGAGUCUGCAUAGGAAACUGUCGGGCUUGAGUAUGGGAGAGGUGAGUGGAAUUUCCGGUGUAGCGGUGAAAUGCGUAGAUAUCCGGAGGAACACCAAUGGCGAAGGCAGUGUCCUGGGAAGUACCUGACGCUCAGGUGCGAAAAGCUAGGGGAGCGAACAGG
rnacentral:rRNA from 1 species